AGACACUCACAGCAAGGAUGGAGCUGAAAACAUAACCCACUCUGUCCUGGAGGCACUGGGAAGCCUAGAGAAGGCUGUGAGCCAAGGAGGGAGGGUCUUCCUUUGGCAUGGGAUGGGGAUGAAGUAAGGAGAGGGACUGGACCCCCUGGAAGCUGAUUCACUAUGGGGGGAGGUGUAUUGAAGUCCUCCAGACAACCCUCAGAUUUGAUGAUUUCCUAGUAGAACUCACAGAAAUAAAGAGCUGUUAUACUGUGGUUUAUUCUGG
rnacentral:lncRNA from 10 species